rnacentral:rRNA from 1 species
GAUACUCGCUGCGAGCUAAAGAUUGUUCGUGGCUUAGGGAAACCGAUAAGUAUCCCACCUGGGGAGUACGCCGGCAACGGUGAAACUCAAAGGAAUUGACGGGGGCCCGCACAAGUGGUGGAGCAUGUGGUUUAAUUCGAUGAUACGCGAGGAACCUUACCUAGGCUAGAAUGCGCGUGACCGGCUCAGAGAUGAGCCUUUCCUUCGGGACACAAAGCAAGGUGCUGCAUGGCCGUCGUCAGCUCGUGCCGUGAGGUGUUAGGUUAAGUCCUGCAACGAGCGCAACCCCUAUGUUUAGUUGCCAGCAUGUAAUGAUGGGGACUCUAGACAGACUGCCUGCGCAAGCAGUGAGGAAGGCGGGGACGACGUCAGGUCAUCAUGGCCCUUACGCCUAGGGCGACACACGUGCUACAAUGGACGGUACAGCGGGUAGCUACACAGCGAUGUGAUGCCAAUCUCGAAAAGCCGUUCUCAGUUCGGAUCGGAGUCUGCAACUCGACUCCGUGAAGCUGGAAUCACUAGUAAUCGCGCAUCAGCCAUGGCGCGGUGAAUACGUUCCCGGGCCUUGUACACACCGCCCGUCAAGCCAUGAAAGUCUGGU